rnacentral:rRNA from 1 species
UGAGGGAAUAUUGGGUCAAUGGACGGAAGUCUGAACCAGCCAAGUAGCGUGCAGGAUGACGGCCCUAUGGGUUGUAAACUGCUUUUAUGCGGGGAUAAAGUGAGGGACGUGUCCCUUUUUGUAGGUACCGCAUGAAUAAGGACCGGCUAAUUCCGUGCCAGCAGCCGCGGUAAUACGGAAGGUCCGGGCGUUAUCCGGAUUUAUUGGGUUUAAAGGGUGCGCAGGCGGACUCGUCAAGUCAGCGGUAAAAUUCGGGGCUCAACCCCGUCCUGCCGUUGAAACUGCGAGACUGGAGUGCGACAGAGGAAGGCGGAAUGCGAGGUGUAGCGGUGAAAUGCAUAGAUAUCGCGCAGAACUCCGAUUGCGAAGGCAGCCUUCCAUGUCGUAACUGACGCUGAGGCACGAA